rnacentral:misc_RNA from 1 species
UGGUAUCCAACUCACAAUCUUC